rnacentral:tRNA from 1 species
UCCCUGGUGGCUCAGCUGGUAAAGAAUCUGCCUGUGAUGCAGGAGACCCUGGUUCAAUCCCUGGGUUGGGAA